rnacentral:misc_RNA from 1 species
AACGCACGAGACCUGCGGACCUGCGGAGGGAUCAUUACUGAGUAUUUUACUCAUAACCUUUGUGAACAUAUCUGUUGCUUUGGUAGGGAGCCAGGCUUUGUCAAUCCUAGCCUACUAAUUGUUAAUGCAGUUAUAUAUUGCUUUAUGCCCUACCAAAGAAUUUUAUACACAAUAUUUUUAGUAUUGCUCUGAGUUUAAAAAAAGGUUAUAAACUUUCAGCAAUGGAUCUCUAGAUCGGAA